ensembl:lncRNA
CCCUCAAAUUCGGAGGUGCGGCAACGAAGGGGCAAGGCUGGGCGCAGGCCGGGUGUCCGGGCCCAGGGCCCUGGUGGGGACGUUGAGAAUUGCCCUGUCGAGCAUGUUUGGGAUUCAAGAAUGAAUUGGAAGCAAACGGAAGAGCUGACAUCCCCGCGCCCUUUCAAGUACCGGGGUUCCGCCAGUCUCUGGGACUUGGAGCUGCCCGCAGAGUCAGCCUGAGCCGGAGAGGGGUCCUGGGCAGCGGUGCGGGGUCUCUGUUUCUCCGAGGGGGUCCGGGCGCGCCCCUCCCCUUUGUUGUGCAGUGAGACCAGUGGGGCCUCCUCUGGGAUCUACAUUCGGAGCCCCAUGCCCUUGCCAUAACGAACGUGAACUGGCAGUGUCCAAGGAGCUAACCCGAGACCCCAGANNNNNNNNNNNNNNNNNNNNNNNNNNNNNNNNNNNNNNNNNNNNNNNNNNNNNNNNNNNNNNNNGAAGAAGCCCCGCUUGUCAAAAGCCAGCCGCAGUGUGCUGGGCCUUCCGCCCUGGCCUCUCUGUAGUCCGAAUUGCUUCCCUGCCAGGAUCCCAACCUCGACAGAGCCCCUACUGCUGGAGGGUGUCCAGUCUGGAGCCCCUCACCGCCCUGGAUGGAGAAGGCACUCUCCCCGGCUCUGGUGCCCACCGACUGCCACCUCCACUGUUUCCAGCCCUCGGCACGGCAGGACCUGAGGUCAGGAAGGCCCAGCUUCCUUCUGGGGGUGCUCCAGCUCACUCAGGACCUCUCCAUGCUCCCUCCCUCAGCUCAGGAGGUGAUUAAAAUUGUGGAGCACCCUUCAGACUCUGGGAUCACACCCUCGCCAGCCAGCCUGCCAGCCCAGGGAAGGAGGAGAUUGAGGCUGUGGGCUUGACCUCCCUCCUUUGAGCCAUGUGGGAGAUGGCUCCGGAAUGCCGGCCCAAACUGGCGGCCCAGGAAGCGCAGGAGGCGCCCGGCGACUCCUUCCCCGCGGCGCGCCAAGCGGGCCGAACUCCGCGGCUGAGUCGCGCGGCUCCACUCACCGCGCGCGGGCUCGGGCUCCGGCCUCGGAGAGCGGUAAACGGAAUCGGUUUCCCACGGUCUCCCCCUUCAUCCCGGGGCCUUUCAAAAGCCGCUCACGAAUUCCGUCGUCCAGUUUACGCGGAUUCUGAGCCUCGCGUUCACCCCGCGCCACCUGGAAAGGGGACCCUCGCACGGUCCGCAUCCCCGGGCCGCCCGCCCGUGCACACGGGGAGCAACUUCGUUCCCCUGAGAGCCCUGGCCCCGCGGCGCGGGCAGAGCUCCGCCCGGCAAAGGUGGCACUGUGGUCGCUCCGGAACGCUACCCGCGUGGACGCGGCCGCCACCUUCUGCUCUCGCUUCUGGCUGCGCGCGGGCAGAGCCCUGGAAACAACGAAAACGGCGAGCAGAGUUGCUUUCCGGAUGUCGGAGUCCCGGAAGCCUCUGGGUGCCAGCCAGUCCUCCGCGUCCCCAGACGCCCCAGAGCCGAGCUCACCGCCUGGCCGCCGGUACCGGAACAGACUCCCCCAGUCGGCUUGCCGGCAAUCCACGCCUCGACGUGACCCCGAAGGAGCAGCUGCGGGGAGAUGCUUCUUCGAGCCUCAGUUUCCCCACCUGUGCAACGGGGCCAUAUGUUCCUGCGCCCUUCCCGGGGUUGAUGUGGGAUUGGCGGGGAGAGAGGACCUGGAAAACGCCCGACGGGGCUCAGUUCUGCCCACCUUUUGGGGCCAGGUCCCUUUUACCUGCUACUAAACCAGUCAUUGCAGGAAGCUCUCUUGAACAAGCAAGAAAACAGAAGAGUCCAGGACCGCCCCAGGCAGGCGAAAAAAUUACCCCUCGUGCUGCCUGA